GACGAACGCUGGCGGCGUGCUUAACACAUGCAAGUCGAACGCUGAAGCUUGGUGCUUGCACUGGGUGGAUGAGUGGCGAACGGGUGAGUAAUACGUGAGUAACCUGCCCUUGACUCUGGGAUAAGCCUGGGAAACUGGGUCUAAUACUGGAUACGACAUGUCACCGCAUGGUGGUGUGUGGAAAGGGUUUUACUGGUUUUGGAUGGGCUCACGACCUAUCAGCUUGUUGGUGGGGUAAUGGCUCACCAAGGCGACGACGGGUAGCCGGCCUGAGAGGGUGACCGGCCACACUGGGACUGAGACACGGCCCAGACUCCUACGGGAGGCAGCAGUGGGGAAUAUUGCACAAUGGGCGGAAGCCUGAUGCAGCGACGCCGCGUGAGGGAUGACGGCCUUCGGGUUGUAAACCUCUUUCAGCACGGAAGAAGCGAAAGUGACGGUACGUGCAGAAGAAGCGCCGGCUAACUACGUG
rnacentral:rRNA from 1 species